rnacentral:rRNA from 1 species
ACGAACGCUGGCGGCGUGCCUAAUACAUGCAAGUAGAACGCUGAAGGAGGAGCUUGCUUCCCUGGAUGAGUUGCGAACGGGUGAGUAACGCGUAGGUAACCUGCCUGGUAGCGGGGGAUAACUAUUGGAAACGAUAGCUAAUACCGCAUAAGAGUAGAUGUUGCAUGACAUUUGCUUAAAAGGUGCAAUUGCAUCACUACCAGAUGGACCUGCGUUGUAUUAGCUAGUUGGUGGGGUAACGGCUCACCAAGGCGACGAUACAUAGCCGACCUGAGAGGGUGAUCGGCCACACUGGGACUGAGACACGGCCCAGACUCCUACGGGAGGCAGCAGUAGGGAAUCUUCGGCAAUGGACGGAAGUCUGACCGAGCAACGCCGCGUGAGUGAAGAAGGUUUUCGGAUCGUAAAGCUCUGUUGUAAGAGAAGAACGAGUGUGAGAGUGGAAAGUUCACACUGUGACGGUAUCUUACCAGAAAGGGACGGCUAACUACGUG